rnacentral:rRNA from 1 species
UGGGGGAUAUUGCACAAUGGGCGAAAGCCUGAUGCAGCGACGCCGCGUGGGGGAUGAAGGCCUUCGGGUUGUAAACUUCUUUUGCUCUGAACAAGGCAUGCUAAUGGGUGUGUUGAGUGUAGGGGUUGAUUAGCGCCGGCUAACUACGUGCCAGCAGCCGCGGUAAUACGUAGGGCGCGAGCGUUGUCCGGAAUUAUUGGGCGUAAAGGGCUUGUAGGUGGCUGGUUGCGUCUGUCGUGAAAGCUCAUGGCUUAACUGUGGGUUUGCGGUGGGUACGGGCUGGCUUGAGUGCAGUAGGGGAGGCUGGAAUUCCUGGUGUAGCGGUGGAAUGCGCAGAUAUCAGGAGGAAUACCGGUGGCGAAGGCGGGUCUCCGGGCUGUUACUGACACUGAGGAGCGAAAGCAUGGGGAGCGAACAGG